UCUGAGAGAAAAAGGGUAAUACUAUUUUGGAAACCUAUACUCUUUGGCGGCCUUAUUUCUUAUCAGAGGAACUUGUUCAUUAAUCGAAAUUACCCGUUCAUUUUCCCUUUUUAUUGUUUUUAUACCGUCGUCUUAAGAAUAUUGUUAAGCAAAUUAUUCUAACUUGAUUAUGCAAGUAAGUCAGAUCAAGGUGAAGCUCAUUUAAAAGAUCUGGAUGAGUUAUUUAUAAGAAUUACUAAAGGAUAUUUUUUUUAAAAUUUAAUAAAAUUAAGAUUUGACAGUACUUAUUAUUUAAAAUGUUGUGAGGAAGAAGUGAAAAAAGGUGU
rnacentral:rRNA from 1 species